rnacentral:rRNA from 1 species
GGGGAAUUUUCCGCAAUGGGCGCAAGUCUGACGGAGCAACGCCGCGUGCAGGAGGACGCUUUUCGGAGUGUAAACUGCUUUUCUGUGGGACGAGCGAGGACGGUACCACAGGAAGAAGCCCCGGCUAACUACGUGCCAGCAGCCGCGGUAAUACGUAGGGGGCGAGCGCUGUCCGGAGUUACUGGGCGUAAAGGGCAUGCAGGCGGUCGGACGCGUUUCCAGUGACAGUGGGUGGCUUACCUACCCGAGGAUUGGAAAGACGGUUUGACUUGAGGACUCGAGAGGGACACGGAAUUCCGGGUGGAGUGGUGAAAUGCGUAGAGAUCCGGAGGAACAUCAAAGGCGAAGGCAGUGUCCUGGCGAGUAACUGACGCUGAGGUGCGAAAGCUAGGGGAGCGAAAGGGAUUAGAUACCCCUGUAGUCA